GGGGAUGCUAGGCAUCGACAAUUUGUUCUCUCAAAAUACGCAAGCCGAGCAUGACAUUAGACUCGUAAAACCUUGUGUCAACGAUCAUAAGUGCAAACUUAUUUUCAAAGGUUAAGCAAGCUUUUCAGCCUGCUUACGCCGUUGUUCCUGCCUAAUUCGCGGGGACCAUCAGCCUGCUGAUGCCUAAUAAGCAACCGCUGGUGUCAUACAUUGGGCUUGAUUGAUAGUUUUUCUCUGCGGCUAUCUCUGACCAUUGAGCAAAGAGGACUUUUCAAGGUUUUGUUUACUUUAUACUUGAAAAGUUUCUCAAAACAAGUAAACUAAGCUUGUAGAAUAUUUUGGAAGAUAUAAAUUUGGACAUGGGUUCGAGUCCCAUCAUCUCCACCA
rfam:Parcubacteria (Moranbacteria) bacterium GW2011_GWC2_40_12 TT79_C0004, whole genome shotgun sequence.